rnacentral:rRNA from 1 species
GUCUUUUUGAUUAUUAUUUAAGGUUAGGUCUGCCCAUUGAUUUUUAAAAGGCUGCAGUAUUUUGACUGUACAAAGGUAGCAUAAUAAUUAGUUUUUUAAUUAAAAGCUAGAAUGAAUGAUUUAAUGAAAAAAAUACUGUCUCUUUUUUAUUUUAUAAAAUUUUAUUUUUAAGUUAAAAAGCUUAAAUUUUAUUAAAAGACGAGAAGACCCUAUAGAGUUUAAUAUAAAUUUUUAAUAUUUAUUUUUUUUAUUUUAUUUAUAUUAUUAAAAUAUAUUUUGUUGGGGUGACAGAAAAGUUUAUUAAACCUUUUUAUUAUAAAAACAGUUUUUACUGAAUUUUUGAUCCUUUUAAAGAUUAUUAGAUUAAAUUACCUUAGGGAUAACAGCGUAAUUUUUUUGGAGAGUUCAUAUCUAUAAAAAAGUUUG